rnacentral:lncRNA from 10 species
GUUUUUCUGGUUGUUUACAUGUGAAAUUUAAGUUUUGACUGUAUACUGGACAUUCUAAAUGUUGUGUAGGCCCUAUAUCCUGAUAGUCUGUAGGAUGCUGAUUUUGUUUCUGCCAUUGUUUUAGCGGACAGUCAUCCCAGUUUUGUUCAGACUGUUCUGUCUUGGUGGUUGUGGGUGGGGUGGAUCUAAUCUCAGUUUCAAUUUUCAAAGCCCUUGCUAUGCUGCGUUGGGUCUAUCCUUAGCAUGUGCAACUUGGAGGUAAGCCCUGCACUUGCAUGGAU